UGAGUUGACUUGCCAGUUCCAGAGGCUGGGAAGUCAAGAGAAUGGCACUGACAUCUAGUGAGAGCCUUCUUGCUGCGUUAGAACAUGGCAGAAGUUGUCAUGUGGUGAGGUGGCAAGGGACUAUCAGCCCCGUAUCUCUCUUCUUCUUAUAAAGCCAGCCGUCUCAUCAUGGGAACCCUACUCUGAUGACUUUAUCUCAUUUAAUUACCUCCCAAAGGCUCUACCUGAAAAGACUAUCAACAUAGGAAUUUGAGUAUGACGUUUCAACAUGAGUUUCAGAGAGAAGAUUCAAGCCAUGGCAGAUGCCACAUGGGGACUAUUUCUCUGUCUGCCAAUCAUGAACUCUCUUUCCAGCCUAGUGGUUGUCAAGACGUAAGAGGAAGGGAAUUGUAUGUAUUUUUUGCAAUGGGGAGGAAUUAUGGAGAAAAUGUGGAAUCAGAGGAAAACUCUGAAUGGAGAAAUUCAUUUGGAAGAAAACAAGAAACAAGAGGCAGAAUGGAACCUCCUAGUACCAGGGAGGAGAAAGGAGUUCAUGGAGAAGAAGGUGGUGUUUCUCUGCUUUUCUUUCACUUUGAUUUGCAGAAUUGAUCUGAAGAGUCCUGACUUUGACAAGGAAACGCGGAUAAUGGGAUUGGCUAAUUGACUCAAAUGUCACAGGACCAAGGAGAGAAGGAAAACAGCACCAGGGUUCAAAUUCCCAGGAAGUUUCCCUGAAAGCUUCUGUGUGUCUCCCCAGGUGACACUUAAUCUCCAGGACUGAGGUUUCCGGAAAUCAAACACAGAAUCUCAUCCGGAAGCUGGCUGAAUCACCACGCCAGUUGAACUCGCACCAUGGCAGUGUUUGCUGUAAAAGCCAGAGUAUCAGUUGGUAAAGUUAAGGAUGUGUGGGGAGACCUUGAUAAACCUGGCAACACGGAGCUCCUGAAUGCUGAUGUCUUCUUAGCUGGUGGGAGAACCCACCCCACCCGCUGGGAAAGUGGGAUUAGCAGCUGCUACACCCCCGACCUCCUUCUGACAGGACUGACCCUGCAUUGCCUGAGGAAAUGGUAGUGCUUCCUCCGAGGCGGGUACAAUGCCAGACCAUGAUGGAUCUCCCCAGACCCAUCCUUCCACUUCCCUUUGUUUCUAGAUCUCUGACUUGACUUGAGUCCCUGCCGUCCUCUCAGGAAAUGGGGCUUCUAGAGGUUAGAGGUUAGGUGAGCAAUGUGUUUUAGUCCAGGUCUGUCUCACGUUGGCUCAGUGGGGCUCUGAGCCCAUCCUGUGGUUCCGGGAUGCAUAAUUAGAAUAUUCAGCAGCUGGUAGAAUCUCCACAUUGAUUCCCUAAUCUGUGGAGUGAGGGCUAAUCUGGCAGGAAAGAAAGCCAUUCGAACUUCCCCUACCUGGGAAAAUAUUAAACUAAAAGCAGUACUGUAUCUCUGAAAGGACGGUGAUUAAUGCCACCAACCGCUAAAAAAAAACUCAGGAGUGUGAUUUCUCCCUCAUCAGCCCCAUCCAGCUUGCCUACUUGGCCUCUGCAGAAGAAAACUCCAUCUUGGAGAAUGACCGUGGAUGAGCAGCAGCUUAAGCAGGUGAUGAUUUAAACUGCAGCCAAUACAUCAGGUGUGCUUUCAUGGCUUGAGCAAACGAACGUAUCUUCAGGCACCUGAUAUAUAACUACUGAUGUCUCCAUACUGGUCAAUAAAGAACCAGAAGUGGUUUGCUUUCUGCUUUCAAAUCCAGCAAUAGCACUCACCAUCUUACCUUGGGGGAAUACCAGUUCUUCAUCACUGCAUCAUAAGUUAGUUUACAGGGAUCUCAAUGGUCCUUCCCUCCUAAAGAUAGCAAUUUAGUCCAUCACAUUGACAACAUUAUUCUGAUUGGCCCCAGUGAGAGAGAAAUAAUAACAACUUUAGGCUUAUUGAUAAGAUAUUUGCAUGGUACGUGGGAAAUAAAUCACUGAUAAAAAAAAGAAUCCAGUGAAUUUUUACCAGUCCCUCAGUGAAGUUUCUAGGGAUUCAGUGCUCUGGGGCAUGAUGCUGCAACCUUUCCAAGGUGAAAGAUCAGCGACUGUUGCAUCUGCCCCUUUCCACAACCAUGAAAGAGGAACAAUACCUUGUGGACGUCUCUGGAUUUUGGAAGCCACAUAUUUCUCAUUUGGGUGUGUUACUCCAGUUCAUUCACUGAGGUGUUCAAAAAGCUUCUACUUUUGUGUGGGUCAAGAGAAGUCUCUGCAAGUGCUAGCUGCUACUCAAGCUUUGCUGUCACUGGAGCAAUCUGAUUCAGCAGAUUCAGUGGUACUUGAGGUGACAGGGGCAGAUGGGGAGACGGUUUUGUGCCUUUUGUAGGCUUCUAACUGGUGAGUUUCAGAGGAGGCCUUUGGGGUUUUGGAGAAUAGCCCUCCUAUUAUUUUUAGCUAAUUACUCUCCUUUUGAGAAAUAGCUCUUGGCCUGCUACUGGACCUUAGUGAAAACUGAAUAUUUAACCAAGGGCCACCAAUUUGCUGUCGAUGGCAACCUGAGCUAUUCCUCGUGAGCUGAGUGUUCUGACUCACGAAGCCCUAAAGCUGGGUAGGUAGAGCAGCCUCCAUCAUCAAGUGGAAAUGGGAUAUACGGUGGGACUUAGAAAGACCUGAGGGCAUGAAUACGUGGCAUGAAGAAGUGGCCAGACUGCUCAGGCUCAUGGUCAUUAUCCCUACACACUGCCUUUUCUUUCCAAACCUGUACACGUGACUCCAGGGGAGUUCCUUAUGAUCAGCUGAUGGAGGAAGAGAAGACUUGGGCCUGGCUUAGGCAUGACUCUCAUGAUAGGCAAGCACCAAUGAGAAGUCACAGCUGCAGUGCUACAGUCCCUUUCUGGGACCUCCCCGAAAGACAGUGGAGAAGAGAAUUCCUGCCAGUGACAGAACUUUACACAGUGCACCUGUUGGUUCAGUGUGCCUGGAGAGAGAUGGCCAGUCCUGUGAUUAUAUGCUGACUCGUGGGCUGUGGUCGACGGUUUGGCCAGAUGGUGAAGGACUCGGAGGGACCAUGGCCACAAAACUAGCAACAAGAAAACUUGGAGAAGAGACACAUGGGUAGACCUCUCUAUCUAAAAAAGGGUCAAAUAUUUGUGCCCAUGUGAAAGCUCACCAGAGGGUGACCUCAGCAAAGGAAGAUUUUAUUAGUCAAGUAGACAGGAUGACCCAUUCUCUGGAUGCCACCUCUUUCUUCAUCCAUAUGUGUCAUUGCCCAAUGGGCUCGUGAACAAAAUGGUCCUGGUGGCAGGGAUGGAGAUUAGGUCUGGGUUCAGCAAUACGAACUUCCAUUCACCAUGGCGAUCUGGAUACAGCCAGUAAGGAGUGCCCAAUCUUCCAGCAGCAGAGAACUACACUUAGGUCCUGAUAUGGCAACAUUCUCUGGGGUUAUCAGCCAGCUGCAGGUGGAAAGUGGAUUACCCUGAACCACUCCCACCAUGGAGGUGUUCUGUUGGAAUAGACACUUACUCUGAAUAUGAAUUUACUUCCCCUUCACCGAAUGCAUCUGCCCAAACUACCAUCCGUGGACUUACAGAAUGCCUUAUUGUCAGCAUGGUAUUGUGUAUAAUGUUGCUUCUGAUCAAGGAACUCCACAGUAGAUGAAGUGUAGUAAUGGGCACCUGCUCAUGGAAGUCACUGGUGUUACUAUGUUCCCCACCAUCCUAAAGUAGCUGGUUUGAUUGAAUGGGGAUUGCUCCUUGGCCUUUUGACCAAGAUCAAGCAUUGAUAGAAUGGUGAAUGCCCUCGGGAAACCUAGUUACCGCACCAGCAGGGUGGCAACCCCUCGUGGGACUGGAGAAGAUGGAACAUGUUCUGAAUCAGA